rnacentral:tRNA from 1 species
GAGGGUGUAGCUCAGGGGUAGAGCAUGUGCUUAGCAUGCAUGAGGUCCUGGGUUCAACCCCCAGGACCUCCA